rnacentral:rRNA from 1 species
CGGGUGAGUAACACGUGGAUAACCUACCUAUAAGACUGGGAUAACUUCGGGAAACCGGAGCUAAUACCGGAUAAUAUAUUGAACCGCAUGGUUCAAUAGUGAAAGACGGUUUUGCUGUCACUUAUAGAUGGAUCCGCGCCGCAUUAGCUAGUUGGUAAGGUAACGGCUUACCAAGGCGACGAUGCGUAGCCGACCUGAGAGGGUGAUCGGCCACACUGGAACUGAGACACUGUCCAG